rnacentral:rRNA from 1 species
AAUCAACGCUGGCGGCGUGCCUAACACAUGCAAGUCGAACGCGAAAGCCCCGCAAGGGUGGAGUAGAGUGGCAAACGGGUAGAGUAACGCGUGGGUGACCUGCCUUCGAGUGGGGGAGUAACGUUCCGAAGGGACGGCUAAUACCGCAUGACAUCCUGCCUUUUAAGUAGGUGGAGAUCAAAGACUGGGGAGUCGCAAGACCUAGCGCUUGACGAGGGGCCC